AAAACAUCUCUUUAUGAUUAAAAUAUUAAGUUGUCUCUGCUCAAUGAAUUAAUUAAAUAGCUGCAGUAUAUUAACUGUACAAAGGUAGCAUAAUCAAUUGUUUUUUAAAUGGAAACUAGAAUGAAUGAGGUGAUGAAAUAAAAACUUUAUUAAUUUUAAUAUUUGAAUUUAAUUUUAAAGUAAAAAAUCUUUAAUAUUUUUAAGGGACGAGAAGACCCUAUAGAAUUUAAUAUUUUAUAAAUAAUUUUAUAAUUUAUAAAAUAUUUGUUUGGGAGGAAUUUUAAAUUAUUAAACUUUAAAUAAUUUUAUACAUUUAUUAAUGAAUUUUAUAGAUUUUAAUUUUUAAUUAAUAGAUUAAAUUACCUUAGGGAUAACAGCGUAAUAAUAUUUUAUAGUUCUUAUUGAAAAUAUUGUUU
rnacentral:rRNA from 1 species